ACCUACCUCACAACACAUGCAGGACUCAAG
rnacentral:piRNA from 1 species